rnacentral:rRNA from 1 species
UGGGGAAUAUUGCACAAUGGGGGAAACCCUGAUGCAGCGACGCCGCGUGAGCGAAGAAGGUUUUCGAAUCGUAAAGCUCUGUCCUAUGGGAAGAUAAUGACGGUACUAUAGGAGGAAGCCCCGGCUAACUACGUGCCAGCAGCCGCGGUAAUACGUAGGGGGCAAGCGUUGUCCGGAAUCACUGGGCGUAAAGGGUUCGCAGGCGGAAAUGCAAGUCAGUUGUGAAAGGCAGAGGCUCAACCUCUGUAAGCAAUUGAAACUGUAUUUCUUGAAAUGUGGGGAGGCAAGUGGAAUUCCUAGUGUAGCGGUGAAAUGCGUAGAUAUUAGGAAGAAUACCGGUGGCGAAGGCGACUUGCUGGACACAAACUGACGCUGAGGAACGAGAGCGUGGGUAGCAAACAGG